UCAGAUAUGAUGAAUCCUACUAUUUAAAGGUAAUACAUUUUCAGAUAUGCUUCUCUAGCUGUAAAUGAUGUCUCCACUAAGACCAUAAGGGUGAGGAUUUUUUUGGUGGAAGAAAUAAAAGAAGAUGUCAAGAUGGACUUAUAAACACUAAAGAAAUCACCUGGAGAAAAGUGGGCUAAAUUUUAAAUGAUCCAAAUAGCUGCGAUAAAUGAAAUAGCUACGGUUCAAAGAUGAAGGUUGUCAAGAAAAGGUGUUCAGAACAAUUACGUGAUCUAUGAAAUCAUCAUUUUGGUGUCUGGGAGUGAUGGAUAUGUCCCAUUAAAUUUUCAAAUGUAUACCUUUCUAAGUACAAUUUGUAUGGCCCUCUCCAUUUUCAGAUCUAUCCUUUCAAAUGUAGUUAUCAGAACCCUGGGAGUCGGCCAAACACCAGACUGGCUGAAAACAAUAAUCUAGACAAAGCGUCAGGCAUUGGAGAACAGUUGAAGUGUAAGAAAAAUUGUCCCACCAAAGUGGAUUUGACAGAAUGGAGAGAUGGCUUAGCUCCUCAAGGCCUCGGCACCUGCCUGGAGAUUGGUUUUGGAGGGGAAGAUGCAUUCUUGCAACAAGAUGUCAUUUCUGGCCAUUUUUAAGCUCUGAUUGGAAAUAAGUCAGCAUUAGCAGUGUUGUUAAAAUCUCCAUCACGAAGAUCCAUGUGGGUGCCUGGAGUCUAGCAAUAGAAAAGAGUGAAUGUAUUCCUUCAUAUUAAAAGACACUAAAAAGUAAUGGCAAAUGAAAUGUGGUCAUGUUGAGCAGCUGCUCAGAACCUCAGUAAAGUAUGGGUCUCGAUUACAAAGAGAGAUCGAUGGAUCCCAGUUGAUGGGGAGCAGAAACACAGAUGCUCUGCCUCAGAACCCAGCCACCAUGCUGUGAUAAAUUCAAGCCACAUGGAAAGACUGCAUGUGGGAGGCAUGACUCAAAUUAGAUUUGAACUUUCAUUUAUAUCCAUUGUGUCACUGGAAAAAUUAGAAAUAAAUUAAGUUCUACUAAAAUCUAAUAUCCUAAUUGUCUACGGCACCAUCAUUCAACUGCAUGUCAGACUCAACAUGUGAAACCUUCUCUUUGAGUACUGUGAAACAUAUUCUAAAUUAAGUGGUCGAGUCAAACUGGUUUAUAUAUGUAUUGUAUUAUUUAGUUUCGACUUAUCAAUUAGCCCUCUCAAAAUGGACAAGGGGCAUAAAGAGAUUUCUGCAAAGAAACCAUAGACUGACUAAAAAAUAGUAACAAGGCAAGCACACAGACACAAGAAACUGUCAGAGCUGACAUAUCUCACAGGGUAAGUUUCUAGCUAGCCACAGUAUCAGAGUAAAAACUGUGAUGAUUUGAUCUCAUCAGAACUAACUCAAUGAUUUAGAAAUUACCCAGGAGACUAUUGGAAGUGCAGAUUUACACCCAAUAUAUUAGUGACCCUUAUCCAAAGAGUUAUUGUGCUUGUUACAUUAAUUAAUGAUGAUAGUACAUAUGUACAUAUUUGUAACUAAUAAAUAAAAUUAGAAGGUUGAAAAAUAUGAAAUUGCCAAUGUUCAAGUAUUUUUGACCCAUGUCAGUUUCAUAUGGUUCAACCUAAUUUGUUGAAGUUAAAUGCUCAAAAAUUAUUUACUUUGGAGUGAGUACAGUAAAAAUGUCCAUGCAGACUGUUGGUUUAAGGAAUAAGACACUUGAUAACCAUGAAUUUAGUGAGUGCUUAGGAAACUGUUUACCUUUGCUCCCCAGCUGUGUAUAUAUGUGAACACAGACACAUGACAUGUUACAAAAUUAUUGCUUUCCUUGUCUGGUGAUAAUUUUAUUAUAACCAUGUACUCUUUCCAAUUGGGGUGGCUCCUAGCACCCAGAUAGAUUAUGAAACACUGACUUGAAUGACAAUAAUUAUUCUUUGCCUGACUCCAUCCUGCAGUGAUGUAUCUAGAAAAUCAACAUUCCUUAGUAAAAAACAAGGCUUUAAAAAGAAUGAUUUUUAUGGGAGCUGGUGGUUAUAGAGAAUUUUAGUGCCAAUAAAAAGAAGAUGAGGAUUACUUGUUCCUUUGAGGCCGUGAGGUAAUUAAAAAACAAUAUUUAGUGGGUUUUAGAACACCUAUUUCCAUGAAAUCUCAGCACUAAACAAUUCAGGGAAAUCAGAAUCGAUAAAUCACCUAAACAGAUCAGAAAAAAAUGGAUAAAGCAACCAUAAUUCUAUGCUACCUCCACCCCCUCCAGAUCCAUUAAAUUAUUUCAACUUCUUGGCAUAAAAUCCCAUAACAUAAUACUCCAAAGCAUGUGUCUUGCUUUGGUGCUUGUCAAAAUUAGUGUCUGAAAGACUGUACAGAGAACGGUUUUCCAUUCAAGGGACAGUUGCCUAUUGAAGCCCCUCUCCCAAAUGACUGAGAAAUGUACUCUCAUUCUGCACAUGCAAUAUCAACUCUCUCUUAUCAGCUAAGAUUGUUCUGUUUCACGGCACCAUAUCUAAAAUAGAUUUAUGCCUUAAAGUAAAAAGAGAUCCUGAGCUUAUUUGUUUAUUUGUUCUUUCAGUCAUUGAUUCAUUCAACAAGUAUUCAAGUGACUACCACAAGCCACGCAGUGCUGAAGACACAAAAGAGUACAGCAAUUUGCAACCUGGGGCUAAGGGGCUACCAAAAAGUUAGAAUUCCAAACACCAGGUGAAUGUGGUUCCCUAAGAUAACAUAAAAAUGUGAGAAGAAUAAAACAGGUUGUUGAAAACUAAUGUAUUCUAGCACUUUUGUUUUUCUCAAUAAUUUACACAUAAACACUGGCUCCUUCAGGAGCUAUCCCCAAGUUAAAGGCAUGUGACAGAAGACCCAGAAAGAGCAAGAGGCAGAAAGGGUAGGCCUAGUGAAAGGGAGAGGGUAGCAGCAAUUUCCAAACUCCCUGGGAUUCAAUGUCCCCAACAAAGUGGAGAGUGGACAUGAAUCUGUCAAAAGAAUGUGAGAACAACCUGUAAGAGCCUCCUACAAGCCAAAGAUGGGACAAUUUGAGCAUCAACAGGGAUGAUGUAAGUGCAAUAGAUUGAAAUACUUCAAUAAAUUUUAAAUCCUUGUGUUCUUCAUGAUACUAAAAAAUUAUUGAGUACUGAGCGACACUGUAGGGAACUAAUGAUAAUUUUGAAAACUGUAAAUAAAAGAAUCAAGAGUUUAUCCUCCCUUGGCUACACUAGUUGUACUACUGGUCACCAAGGAAUAUAAAGGAGGAAAUUUUUAUUAUAAAAAUAUCACAUCUAAUAAAUGAUGAUGAAGGCAUGAGAAAAUAAGAAUACCACUAUUUUGUAAUCUCUAACAAACUAAUGGAUUUAGGCAUUGAACAUUAAUGGCUAGCACUUCAAAAAGAGAUAAAGCAUAUAGUGUGCUUUUUAUUAAGUAGAAAAGACCACAUAUAUGAAUGUCUUAUCAACAAAACCCACAAAAAUCUAAUAUAAUAAAACCUCUAGAUCCAACUACUCUAAAUAAGAGACCAAAGAACAUAUUAAGCUAUAUCGUGGGAUGCAAUCAGCAAAAACUAGACUGUGAGAAGGUACAGGACAAACAAUCAAUUUUUUUCCUUGCAGUUUGACAAAUGAACUGCAAGAAGAAAAAAAUAAAAGGAGAGGAGUACCCAUAUAUUUUUAAAAGUCUCAAGAUAAAUCAAUCUAUGGACAAGCAAUGUAUGUAUUUUAUUUGAAUUAUGAUUUCUUAAAAAAUGUAUGAUGCAUUAGAUAAUUGCAUUGACUGGGGAUUUGAUGACAUGAAGACUGAUGGUGAAUUGUUUUACUGUGGGAUUGGUAUUCUACUCAUACAUAAAAACUAUGUUUUUAUCUUAGAAAAGUACAUAAUAAAAUAUUUUGAAAUGAAA